AGUGAACGCUGGCGGUAGGCCUAACACAUGCAAGUCGAACGGCAGCACAGUAAGAGCUUGCUCUUACGGGUGGCGAGUGGCGGACGUGUGAGGAAUACAUCGUACUCUACUUUUUCGUGGGGGAUCACGUAGCGAAACUUACUCUAAUACCGCAUACGACCUACGGUUGAAAGCAGUGGAUCUUCUGACCUUGCGCGAUUGAAUGAGCCGAUUUCGGAUUAGCUAGUUGGCGGGGUAAUGGCCCACGCAGGCGACGAUCGGUAGCUGGUCCGAGGGCAUGAACCGCCACAGAGGGGCUGAGAGACGGUCCAGGCACCGACGGGAGGCAGCAGUGGGGAAGAUAGGCAGAAGGGGGGAAGCCUGAACCAGCCAUACAGCGUGGGUGAAGAAGGCCCGCGGGUUGUAAAGCCCUUUUGUUGGGAAAGAAAAGCAGCAGGUUAAUACCCCGCUGUUCGGACGGAACCCAAAGAAUAAGCACCGGCUAACUUCGU
rnacentral:rRNA from 1 species